GCGGCGACGUUCUCCACACCUUCCACGGUUGCCUGUGAAACUUCGUUAGCUGCACCCACCGUGGCGUCUCCGACGAUGUUGGCCUGGUCCACAGUCCUGUUUGCCACUGACAGACAAAGAAAAGCACGAUGCUGCCCUCCUGCAUCCUCCCAUCCUUGCUCCGUCUCCUGCUCUCCUCCAUCUCUCUCUGCACGCUCCCUGUGAUACAUGAGCCACGUGCCUGAGUACUGAGCAGUACUGCGACAUUUCCUGGCCAAACCCCUGGAGGAUCUGCCUGCAGACCUGUAUGGUGGGGCACCUCUACAAUCGGGCGACUGUGGGGCGGGAAGUGACGUACAUUACCCAAGUUGGAAUCAGAUGGCAUGUAUUUUCUGCUUGCUGUUAGAGGUUACGGUAAGGUUUUUUUUUUUUUGUCACAAGAAAUGAAUAAAAAUUGAAAGAGGGUUAAGGUUAGGUAACCAAACCCUAAAGGUUAGGUUAGGGUUAGGGUAAGGGUGAGGUGGAUAAAAUUUAAAAUAACAGACCACAAACUAAAACCCAACAAGGAUUAAUAUUUCACUUUGCACCCCAUGGCCGAGGUCACCCCAUUGUAGAUGUCUGAAACAGAUAAGCCCAAAAUGCCCAAACAUAGAGGUCUGCAGCGAGAUGCCUCUUAAAUUUCCAUUUUUACCAAUCUUGUAAGGUUUUUAACAGUUACAUCUUCAUACUGUUGUUGGAUAGACACAUUACUCUACAUAGAGCAAUGUAGGAACACCAGCAUGGCAGGCUGAACUUUACAAACUAGGUUCCCAAAGACCUCUGCUUGUUUAUUAAUUUUAACUGUUAGCCAAAUAAUUUAUUCUUUCUUCCUUCAUAAAGUUUGUAAUUCUUUAGGAAAAACAGUCUCCUCCAGGAAAAACAUCCUCACAAUCGUGUCAAUACAGUAGUCUUGUUGAAGAAUUGUUCCUGAAUUUGAUGCAGCACUUUCAGAAAACAGGAAAACUGUUAAAGUUUUCUGAGUACUUACAAUAAGUGUUAUAGAUUGCUAUUACACAGUACGAAUGAAUUUGUGUUUUUGGUGUUUUCACACCCAUAUAAAACCUUCUGCAGACAGCACUUGUAGCUCAAUGGCUGACACUGAACUCAGAGUUGAAAGAAGACCAACAGGGGUCAGCCAGCAACACAGACCUCUUUACUUUUGCCAAAGACAGAAGCAAACAGUGGGUGUAAACUGCCAAAUAGCUGUCUUUCCUUGGUAAACUCUAGAUUAGCAAUAUCUCUGUCAAAUACAGUUUCAGGAGGAACUUAAACAGCAAUCACUCAUCUUUGCCCACACUUAUUACUAGUAUUUUUGUUGUUUAAGAAAAGCUAAAUUAAAUAUUUAAAAGGCUUUUGUAGGUUUGGUUUUCGAUAGGCUUUAAAAGUUGAUUAAUUUCACAUUUGAUUGGCUGCAAAUAACUCAAAUUACUUUGCUUUUUAAUGUCAGUGCAAGUAUGCUGAGAUGAGGGAUUAAAGGCUUUUGAGGGCAGCAGUCGGGCGGUAGGUUUGUCCAUACAGUAUGUGAUGUGGGUACAGUAGGUUAACGUGCUGGGCACAGACCUCACACGUGAGACAUCUCCCCACAGAGAAGGAGCUAUCUCAGGUUCGGCAUCUCUGAGAUUCGGGAUGAUGGUGUGUAACCGGAGCGGAACAUUCCAUGACCAUGUUUAACAGCUGCUCUCUCCUGUGCGUGAGUGUGUGCGUGUCUGUUUCUGUCAGAGUGUCCGUGUUCUGGGUGAGGUGGGGCCGCUGGCAUGAUACUACCGUCAUCGCUCUGCGGUCUGCCCUGAGCACGUUUCCUGCCUCCUGACUUACCGUUAGCUGUGGCUGUAAAGCCACUCGGCUCCAGAAGGGAAACGCAUUAGUGAAGGCUGAUACCUGGAUGUGAUAUGUCAGAGGCCAAACAGAUUGUGCCCUUAAUUAACUUCUGCAAGUAUUUCAUGACUGAGGCUUCACCCGAAUUCACGCCAACCCUCUGAAGAGAGGUUUCUCAUUGAGGCCACAACUGAA